UAGAUGAACGCUGGCGGCAGGCCUAACACAUGCAAGUCGAACGGUAGCACAGAGAGCUUGCUCUCGGGUGACGAGUGGCGGACGGGUGAGUAAUGUCUGGGAAACUGCCUGAUGGAGGGGGAUAACUACUGGAAACGGUAGCUAAUACCGCAUAACGUCGCAAGACCAAAGAGGGGGACCUUCGGGCCUCUUGCCAUCAGAUGUGCCCAGAUGGGAUUAGCUAGUAGGUGGGGUAACGGCUCACCUAGGCGACGAUCCCUAGCUGGUCUGAGAGGAUGACCAGCCACACUGGAACUGAGACACGGUCCAGACUCCUACGGGAGGCAGCAGUGGGGAAUAUUGCACAAUGGGCGCAAGCCUGAUGCAGCCAUGCCGCGUGUAUGAAGAAGGCCUUCGGGUUGUAAAGUACUUUCAGCGGGGAGGAAGGUGUUGUGGUUAAUAACCACAGCAAUUGACGUUACCCGCAGAAGAAGCACCGGCUAACUCCGUGCCAGCAGCCGCGGUAAUACGGAGGGUGCAAGCGUUAAUCGGAAUUACUGGGCGUAAAGCGCACGCAGGCGGUCUGUCAAGUCGGAUGUGAAAUCCCCGGGCUCAACCUGGGAACUGCAUUCGAAACUGGCAGGCUAGAGUCUUGUAGAGGGGGGUAGAAUUCCAGGUGUAGCGGUGAAAUGCGUAGAGAUCUGGAGGAAUACCGGUGGCGAAGGCGGCCCCCUGGACAAAGACUGACGCUCAGGUGCGAAAGCGUGGGAGCAAACAGGAUA
rnacentral:rRNA from 1 species